CCACAAUAUUGAUGUCAGGUAGCAAAUAAAUGUACACUUUUCUUAUCCUCUGUUAACAACAGCAAUAUGGCAGGCAACAUAUCAAAAUCUCAUUUCCCUCUUUUAGAGGUGAAAACAGGGGAAAUAAACAAACAUACAAAUAUAUUAGGAGCACCAGUGCUUUUUGAGCACAAGGACAUUGCACAGAACAAACUCCUCCUUUUACCAAUAUGUUUAUAACCAAGGAAAACAAUAUUCCAUGGGGAAUAUGAAUAUAACAACAAGCAUAAGGAAAUACCACCACUU